CCUACGGGAGGCAGCAGUAGGGAAUAUUGCUCAAUGGGGGAAACCCUGAAGCAGCAACGCCGCGUGAAGGAUGAAGGUUUUCGGAUUGUAAACUCCUUUUGUUAGAGAAGAUAAUGACGGUAUCUAACGAAUAAGCACCUGCUAACUCCGUGCCAGCCGCCGCGGUCAUACGGAGGGUGCAAGCGUUACUCGGAAUCACUGGGCGUAAAGAGCGCGGAGGCGGGAUAGCACGUCAGAUGUGAAGUCCUAGGGCUUAACCAUAGGACUGCAUUUGAAACUGUUAUUCUAGAGUACGGGUGAGGUAGGUGGAAUGUUUGGUGUAGGGGUAAAAUGCGUAGAGAUCAAGAGGAAUACUCAUUGCGAAGGC
rnacentral:rRNA from 1 species